rnacentral:rRNA from 1 species
UACGGAGGAUGCGAGCGUUAUCCGGAUUUAUUGGGCUUAAAGGGUGCGUAGGCGGACGCUUAAGUCAGCGGUAAAAUUGCGGGGCUCAACCUCGUCGAGCCGUUGAAACUGGGUGCCUUGAGUGGGCGAGAAGUACGCGGAAUGCGUGGUGUAGCGGUGAAAUGCAUAGAUAUCACGCAGAACUCCGAUUGCGAAGGCAGCGUACCGGCGCCCUACUGACGCUGAAGCACGAAGGCGUGGGUAUCGAACAGG